rnacentral:misc_RNA from 1 species
GCAAACCUCAAGCUCAGCUUGGUCUUGGGCGUCGUUCCCCCCGGGGCGCGCCUGGAAAUCAGCGGCGGUGCGGCCCGGCGAUCGAGCGUAGUAACGAAACUCCCCGUCUCGAUUUUCGCCCGGACGUUCCGGCCGGACAACCCCUUUUGUUACCCCCAAUGAUUGACCUCGGAUCAGGUAGGGAUACCCGCUGAACUUAA